CCACCUCCCACCCGUGUUUACUGUACCUUAGUUGCUUCGGCGGGCCCGCCAUUCAUGGCCGCCGGGGGCUCUCAGCCCCGGGCCCGCGCCCGCCGGAGACACCACGAACUCUGUCUGAUCUAGUGAAGUCUGAGUUGAUUGUAUCGCAAUCAGUUAAAACUUCAACAAUGGAUCUCUUGGUUCCGGCAUCGAUGAAGAACGCAGCGAAAUGCGAUAACUAGUGUGAAUUGCAGAAUUCCGUGAAUCAUCGAGUCUUUGAACGCACAUUGCGCCCCCUGGUAUUCCGGGGGGCAUGCCUGUCCGAGCGUCAUUGCUGCCCAUCAAGCACGGCUUGUGUGUUGGGUCGUCGUCCCCUCUCCGGGGGGGACGGGCCCCAAAGGCAGCGGCGGCACCGCGUCCGAUCCUCGAGCGUAUGGGGCUUUGUCACCCGCUCUGUAGGCCCGGCCGGCGCUUGCCGAACGCAAAUCAAUCUUUUCCAGGUUGACCUCGGAUCAGGUAGGGAUACCCGCUGAACUUAAGCAUAUCAAUA
rnacentral:rRNA from 1 species